rnacentral:rRNA from 1 species
GACGGGUAUCGGCCUGAGAGGGUGAACGGACACACUGGAACUGAGACACGGUCCAGACUCCUACGGGAGGCAGCAGUAGGGAAUAUUGCUCAAUGGGGGAAACCCUGAAGCAGCAACGCCGUGUGGAGGAUGAAGGUUUUAGGAUUGUAAACUCCUUUUGUUAGAGAAGAUUAUGACGGUAUCUAACGAAUAAGCACCGGCUAACUCCGUGCCAGCAGCCGCGGUAAUACGGAGGGUGCAAGCGUUACUCGGAAUCACUGGGCGUAAAGAGUGCGCAGGCGGGAUAGCAAGUCAGAUGUGAAAUGCUAUGGCUUAACCAUAGAACUGCAUUUGAAACUGUUAUUCUA